GCUUGUCUCAAAGAUUAAGCCAUGCAUGUCUAAGUAUAAAUGGUAUACAGUGAAACUGCGAAUGGCUCAUUAAAACAGUUAUAGUUUAUUUGGUAUUCGAAUUUACAUGGAUAACCGUGGUAAUUCUAGAGCUAAUACAUGCAUUACGCCUGACUUUUCGGAAGGGCAGUAUUUAUUAGAUACAAAACCAAUGCGGGGCAACCCGGUUCUUGGUGAAUCAGAAUAACUGAACGGAUCGCAUGGCCUUGUGCCGGCGAUGAAUCAUUCAAAUUUCUGCCCUAUCAACUUUCGAUGGUAAGGUAUUGGCUUACCAUGGUUACAACGGGUAACGGGGAAUUAGGGUUCGAUUCCGGAGAGGGGGCCUGAGAAAUGGCCACCACUUCCAAGGAAGGCAGCAGG
rnacentral:rRNA from 1 species